AUCUACUCAGAGUGCUUGGGUGGAGGUAUGUGUCUGGGGCCGUGGGCGUGCGUUUCGUGCGUGCGUUCUCGUGCUUGAGCGCUUCCUCUGUUGCUCACCUCUGUGCUCUUACUCGGAGGGGGUGACUUCUGUGUCACCUUGAGUAAAUCAUGGUGCUCACAGCAGUCGUGCGGGCCCUGUGCCCUGUGAACAGUCUAUGCGGACUGAAUUGGUUUUGCAAGGCAUGACGAAACAUGACGUCGCUGCUGGUCGCGAGUGUGAGGGCGUAGUCCUCGUGGCUGCGCCGAGCGGUUUGCCAGUAGUGACGUAAUGAUCAAUGGAGACGGUAGCUGGCAUUGGUAUUGCGCGGCGAGAGGUGAAAUUCUGCGACCCCCGCAAGACCUCCUAAAGCGAAGGCGUCUGCCAAGGACGUGUUCACCAAUCAUGAACGAAAGUCAGAGGAUCGAAGGCGAUCAGAUACCGCCCUAGUUCUGACCCUAAACGAUGCCAACCAUCAAUCCGCGUGAGCACCCUAUCUAACGGGCUCGGCGGGCAGCUCCCUUCUUCCGGGAAACCAGAGUUUUUGGGUUCCGGGGGGAGUCUGGUUGCAAAGCU
rnacentral:rRNA from 1 species